rnacentral:rRNA from 1 species
UACAGAGGGGGCAAGCGUUAUUCGGAAUUAUUGGGCGUAAAGGGCGCGUAGGCGGCUUGGCAAGUGGAAGGUGAAAUCCCUCGGCUUAACCGAGGAACUGCCCUCCAAACUGCUUCGCUUGAGACCGGGAGAGGUGAGUGGAAUUCCCAGUGUAGCGGUGAAAUGCGUAGAUAUUGGGAGGAACACCAGUGGCGAAGGCGGCUCACUGGCCCGGUACUGACGCUGAGGUGCGAAAGCGUGGGGAGCAAACAGGG